UGUGGAGGAGGACGCCGAAGGUGGGGCUAAUGACUGGGGUGAAGUCGUAACAAGGUAGCCGUACCGGAAGGUGCGGCUGGAUCACCUCCUAACAGGGAGACAACAAAAUGUUAAAUAUUAAUUUUGUCACCUUAGGUCGAUCGGUAUCUCACAUUCUUAUUAACUUAUUAAGAAUUUUAUUUCCUAAGUUUUUUCUAGGUCACACCCAUAAUUUUCCCUGGGCCAUUAGCUCAGGUGGUUAGAGCGCACCCCUGAUAAGGGUGAGGUCCCUGGUUCAAGUCCAGGAUGGCCCAUAUCUCUAUGUUGGGGGUAUAGCUCAGUUGGUAGAGCGCCUGCUUUGCAAGCAGGAUGUCAGCGGUUCGAGUCCGCUUACCUCCACUGAUUACCACCUCUUCCAUAAUUUAUAGAAGGGAAAUUUUUGAGUUUUGAUCAAAAUCUGAACGAAUCUAGCUUCCUAAUAAUGAUAUUAAGAUGCUGGACUCAUUGAAUUAAUUUUCAUUGUUUUCAGAGAACCUUGACAACUGCAUAGAUUAUUUUUUUAAAGACAAUAAGCAUCUUUAAUGAUGCAGAUUUAUUAUUUGUGCGAAUGCAUUAAAUAACAAUUCUAUUAAGCUGAUGCUUCAAAUUUUGAAGUUAUUGGUCAAGCUACAAAGGGCUCACGGAGGA
rnacentral:misc_RNA from 1 species